rnacentral:rRNA from 1 species
AGCGUAGACGGCAAGGCAAAUCUGAUGUGAAAACCCAGGGCUUAACCCUGGGACUGCAUUGGAAACUGUCUGGCUCGAGUGCCGGAGAGGUAAGCGGAAUUCCUAGUGUAGCGGUGAAAUGCGUAGAUAUUAGGAAGAACACCAGUGGCGAAGGCGGCUUACUGGACGGUAACUGACGUUGAGGCUCGAAAGCGUGGGGAGCAAACA